AUAGAAUUAAACCCAUCACCAUAAGCAGAUUCGGUGGGGAAACCACCCAGGGUCGUUGGCUUGGCUGUACGAAAGAGAAGCCAGAAAUGGUUUAGGCCUGCUCAAGGUAAUUUUUCUGGGGUUUUUAACAAUAUUACAGCUGCUCAAGGUAAUUUUCCACCAUUUUGCUCUGCUGUUGUGAAUAUCCAUUUCCCUUUGGACUCGAAUCAUUUUGCUCUGCUGUUAUAUAUUAUUGUUUAAUUUGUGGUAAAAAGAAAUUUCGAGGAUUUUGGGAGUUUAAGAAUUACAACUGAUAUGAGAAAUGGAACCAAGAUGAAGAGAAGGGCGACAAAGGGCCAUGGUCUUCAUGUCCGC